rnacentral:rRNA from 1 species
GUGAACGCUGGCGGUAGGCCUAACACAUGCAAGUCGAACGGCAGCACAGUAAGAGCUUGCUCUUACGGGUGGCGAGUGGCGGACGGGUGAGGAAUACAUCGGAAUCUACUUUUUCGUGGGGGAUAACGUAGGGAAACUUACGCUAAUACCGCAUACGACCUACGGGUGAAAGCAGGGGAUCUUCGGACCUUGCGCGAUUGAAUGAGCCGAUGUCGGAUUAGCUAGUUGGCGGGGUAAAGGCCCACCAAGGCGACGAUCCGUAGCUGGUCUGAGAGGAUGAUCAGCCACACUGGAACUGAGACACGGUCCAGACUCCUACGGGAGGCAGCAGUGGGGAAUAUUGGGCAAUGGGCGCAAGCCUGAUCCAGCAAUACCGCGUGAGUGAAGAAGGCCUUCGGGUUGUAAAGCCCUUUUGUUGGGAAAGAAAAGCAGCAGGUUAAUACCCCGCUGUUCUGACGGUACCCAAAGAAUAAGCACCGGCUAACUUCGUG